ACGCUCGACACCUACUGGAGGCAGCAGUGGGGAAUAUUGCACAAUGGGGGAAACCCUGAUGCAGCGACGCCGCGUGAGCGAAGAAGUAUUUCGGUAUGUAAAGCUCUAUCAGCAGGGAAGAAACUGACGGUACCUGACUAAGAAGCACCGGCUAAAUACGUGUCAGCAGCCGCGGUAAUCUGAGGCGGGCUGGCAAGGC
rnacentral:rRNA from 1 species